rnacentral:rRNA from 1 species
AUGAACGCUGGCGGCGUGCCUCAUCCCUGCCCGUCGAGCGAACAGAUAAGGAGCUUGCUCCUUUGACGUUAGCGGCGGACGGGUGAGUAACACGUGGAUAACCUACCUAUAAGACUGGGAUAACUUCGGGAAACCGGAGCUAUACCGGAUAACAUAUUGAACCGCAUGGUUCCAUAGUGAAAGGCGGCUUUGCUGUCACUUAUAGAUGGAUCCGCGCCGUAUUAGCUAGUUGGUAAGGUAACGGCUUACCAAGGCAACGAUACGUAGCCGACCUGAGAGGGUGAUCGGCCACACUGGAACUGAGACACGGUCCAGACUCCUACGGGAGGCAGCAGUAGGGAAUCUUCCGCAAUGGGCGAAAGCCUGACGGAGCAACGCCGCGUGAGUGAUGAAGGUCUUCGGAUCGUAAAACUCUGUUAUCAGGGAAGAACAAAUGUGUAAGUAACUGUGCACAUCUUGACGGUACCUGAUCAGAAAGCCACGGCUAACUACGUG